rnacentral:rRNA from 1 species
CUAGCGKCGGACGGGUGAGUAACGCGNGGSAACGUGCCCUUUGCUACGGAAUAGUCCCGGGAAACUGGGUUUAAUACCGUAUGUGCCCUUCGGGGGAAAGAUUUAUCGGCAAAGGAUCGGCCCGCGUUGGAUUAGGUAGUUGGUGGGGUAAUGGCCUACCAAGCCGACGAUCCAUAGYUGGUUUGAGAGGAUGAUCAGCCACACUGGGACUGAGACACGNHMMARACUCCUACGGGAGGCAGCAGUGGGGAAUCUUARAMAAUGGGGGCAACCCUGAUCUAGCCAUGCCGCGUGAGUGAUGAAGGCCUUAGGGUUGUAAAGCUCUUUCAGCUGGGAAGAUAAUGACGGUACCAGCAGAAGAAGCCCCGGCUAACUCCGUGCCAGCAGCCGCGGUAAUACGGAGGGGGCUAGCGUUGUUCGGAAUUACUGGGCGUAAAGCGCACGUAGGCGGACUGGAAAGUUGGGGGUGAAAUCCCGGGGCUCAACCUCGGAACUGCCUUCAAAACUAUCAGUCUGGAGUUCGAGAGAGGUGAGUGGAAUACCGAGUGUAGAGGUGAAAUUCGUAGAUAUUCGGUGGAACACCAGUGGCGAAGGCGGCUCACUGGCUCGAUACUGACGCUGAGGUGCGAAAGCGKGGGGAGCAAACAGGAUUAGAUACCCUGGUAGUCCACGCCGUAAACGAUGAAUGCCAGNCGUCGGGUUGCAUGCMANUUCGGUGACMCACCUAACGGAUUAAGCWUUCCGCCUGGGAGUACGGUCGCAARAUUAAAACUCAAAGGAAWUGACGGGGGCCCGC